UACGGGGGGAGCAAGCGUUGUUCGGAUUUACUGGGCGUAAAGGGCGCGUAGGCGGUCAGCACAAGUCAGUUGUGAAAUCUCUGGGCUUAACUCGGAAAGGUCAACUGAUACUGUGCGACUAGAGUGCAGAAGGGGCAACUGGAAUUCUCGGUGUAGCGGUGAAAUGCGUAGAUAUCGAGAGGAACACCUGCGGCGAAGGCGGGUUGCUGGGCUGACACUGACGCUGAUGCGCGAAAGCCAGGGGAGCGAACGGG
rnacentral:rRNA from 1 species